GUGGAGAGUGAAGUUUCCGUUUCACCCACAGCAUGCUUUAGGACGCCCAGAGUGAAAGUAGCAGUUCCUCCUUAAGGUCAGAGAUUGCAGCAUCUGAGGGCCUCUUCAAAAGGAGACGUAGUUGAUGAAGACGUUCUGGAGCAGGACCAGAAAGACCACGACCAAGCAGCCUUGAGAUCUUAGGCAGCGUCUCCCUCAGGUCCCUCUCUAUCUCCCUACACAUCCACCAACCACUGGAACACAUCUCCAAAGUUCUGCCGGGCCAGCUCAGCUUCCCCUCAGAAGAAGUGCUGCCACCUGCCAGAUGAAGGAGCCUUUUGAGAGGCAGCUGGCAUCGUGAUUGGACUGUACUUUGGUCUGUUCCAAUCCAGCUUCAACUCCAGAGACGGCAGGCGGGACGAGUCAACGGAGGCCUGGUGGAUGAAGGCAUGCAGCUGAGUACAAUCCAGAAAACAACAGAGGAGGAGUGUAGCAGCCCAGAGCCAGAACAAACAAAAUGUCAUAGUAU
ensembl:lncRNA